rnacentral:rRNA from 1 species
AUCUACGGCCAUACCACCCUGAACGCACCCGAUCUCGUCUGAUCUUGGAAGCUAAGCAGGGUCGGGCCUGGUUAGUACUUGGAUGGGAAAAGUUUUAUGUGUAUUUA